rnacentral:tRNA from 1 species
CGGGGCGUGGCGCAGUCCGGUAGCGCAACGGCUUUGGGAGCCGUGGGUCGCAGGUUCAAAUCCUGUCGCCCCGACCA